rnacentral:rRNA from 1 species
GGAAGGGGUGUAUUUAUUAGAUAAAAAACCAAUGCCCUUCGGGGCUCCUUGGUGAAUCAUAAUAACUUAACGAAUCGCAUGGCCUUGCGCCGGCGAUGGUUCAUUCAAAUUUCUGCCCUAUCAACUUUCGAUGGUAGGAUAGUGGCCUACCAUGGUGGCAACGGGUAACGGGGAAUUAGGGUUCGAUUCCGGAGAGGGAGCCUGAGAAACGGCUACCACAUCCAAGGAAGGCGGCAGGCGCGCAAAUUACCCAAUCCCGACACGGGGAGGUAGUGACAAUAAAUACUGAUACGGGGCUCUUUUGGGUCUCGUAAUUGGAAUGAGUACAAUCUAAAUCCCUUAACGAGGAACAAUUGGAGGGCAAGUCUGGUGCCAGCAGCCGCGGUAAUUCCAGCUCCAAUAGCGUAUAUUAAAGUUGUUGCAGUUAAAAAGCUCGUAGUUGAACCUUGGGUCUGGCUGGCCGGUCCGCCUCACCGCGAGUACUGGUCCGGCUGGACCUUUCCUUCUGGGGAAUCUCAUGGCCUUCACCGGCUGUGGGGGGAACCAGGACUUUUAC